rnacentral:rRNA from 1 species
AAGGCCCUUCGGGGUACACGAGCGGCGAACGGGUGAGUAACACGUGGGUGAUCUGCCCUGUACUUCGGGAUAAGCCUGGGAAACUGGGUCUAAUACCGGAUAUGACCUUACAUCGCAUGGUGUUUGGUGGAAAGAUUUAUCGGUACAGGAUGGGCCCGCGGCCUAUCAGCUUGUUGGUGGGGUAAUGGCCUACCAAGGCGACGACGGGUAGCCGGCCUGAGAGGGCGACCGGCCACACUGGGACUGAGACACGGCCCAGACUCCUACGGGAGGCAGCAGUGGGGAAUAUUGCACAAUGGGCGAAAGCCUGAUGCAGCGACGCCGCGUGAGGGAUGACGGCCUUCGGGUUGUAAACCUCUUUCGACAGGGACGAAGCGCAAGUGACGGUACCUGUAGAAGAAGCACCGGCCAACUACGUGCCAGCAGCCGCGGUAAUACGUAGGGUGCGAGCGUUGUCCGGAAUUACUGGGCGUAAAGAGCUUGUAGGCGGUUUGUCGCGUCGUCCGUGAAAACUUGGGGCUCAACCCCAAGCUUGCGGGCGAUACGGGCAGACUUGAGUACUGCAGGGGAGACUGGAAUUCCUGGUGUAGCGGUGAAAUGCGCAGAUAUCAGGAGGAACACCGGUGGCGAAGGCGGGUCUCUGGGCAGUAACUGACGCUGAGAAGCGAAAGCGUGGGUAGCGAACAGGAUUAGAUACCCUGGUAGUCCACGCCGUAAACGGUGGGCGCUAGGUGUGGGUUUCCUUCCACGGGAUCCGUGCCGUAGCUAACGCAUUAAGCGCCACGCCUGGCGAGUACAGCCGCAAGGCUAAAACUCAAACGAAUUGACGGGGGCCAGCACAAGCGGCGUUGUAGCAUGUGAAUUAAUUAAAUGCAACGCAAACAAUCAUUACCUGGAAUUGACAUACAACGGAUAGACCUCCUACAGAUGUAGGCCCCCUUGUGGUCGGUGUACAGGUGGUGCAUGGCUGUCGUCAGCUCGUGUCGUGAGAUGUUGGGUUAAGUCCCGCAACGAGCGCAACCCUUGUCCUGUGUUGCCAGCGCGUUAUGGCGGGGACUCGCAGGAGACUGCCGGGGUCAACUCGGAGGAAGGUGGGGACGACGUCAAGUCAUCAUGCCCCUUAUGUCCAGGGCUUCACACAUGCUACAAUGGCCGGUACAGAGGGCUGCGAUACCGUGAGGUGGAGCGAAUCCCUUAAAGCCGGUCUCAGUUCGGAUCGGGGUCUGCAACUCGACCCCGUGAAGUUGGAGUCGCUAGUAAUCGCAGAUCAGCAACGCUGCGGUGAAUACGUUCCCGGGCCUUGUACACACCGCCCGUCACGUCAUGAAAGUCGGUAACACCCGAAGCCGGUGGCCUAACUCUU